GGGAAUUAUUGGGCCGGUGAAAAUGAGUCAAAGUGCCGUCAGCCACUUCGGCCGAUGUUGAUUUGACAUGAAUACAUUUGCUUUUUUUUUUUUUGACAAAAUGUGGAGAGGUAUUUAGCCAUGCUACUAACCCUCUUUUUUGUUUGGAUACGGGGAAGGGGAGGGAAGAAAAUAAAUAAGAAAAAAUAAUUGAGAUUAAUAUUUUUUUUAUUUAAAAGUGAAGAAAAAAUGAAAGCGAAGGGAAAAUAAUUUUUAUUUUUUU
rnacentral:misc_RNA from 1 species